GCGGAUGUGGUGAAAUGGUAGACACGCUACUUUGAGGGGGUAGUGGGCGUUGGCCUGUGUGAGUUCGAGUCUCACCGUCCGCACAA
rnacentral:tRNA from 1 species